GACGAACGCUGGCGGCGUGCCUAACACAUGCAAGUUGAGCGACGAACCAGGGCUUGCCCUGGGGCAAAGCAGCGAACGGGUGAGUAACACGUGGGUAACCUACCCCGAUAACCGGGACAACCCGAGGAAACUCGGGCUAAUACCGGAUGUGCUCACUGGACUUCGGUUCAGUGCGUAAAGGAAGCUUCGGCCUCCGUAUCGGAAGGGGCCCGCGGCCCAUUAGUUUGUUGGUGAGGUAACGGCUCACCAAGACCGCGAUGGGUAGCUGGUCUGAGAGGACGAUCAGCCACACUGGGACUGAGACACGGCCCAGACUCCUACGGGAGGCAGCAGUGGGGAAUCUUGCGCAAUGCGCGAAAGCGUGACGCAGCAACGCCGCGUGGGGGAAGAAGGCCUUCGGGUUGUAAACCCCUUUCAGGAGGGACGAAGGUUCGGCGGUGAAUAGCCGUCCGGACUGACGGUACCUCCACAAGAAGCCCCGGCUAACUACGUG
rnacentral:rRNA from 1 species